GAAUAAUUAUAAAGUACAGGGACUAUGUCUUGUAUUGAAAUGAUGGCACUUAAACCCUGACCAGAGUAGCAAUUAGGAGGGCAAGUCUGGUGCCAGCAGCCGCGGUAAUUCCAGCUCCGAUAACGUAUAUUAAACUUGUUGCAGUCAAAAAGCUCGNAGUUGUAUUUUUGCUUGGAGGUUUGUUGCCAUUGUGGCUGUAUCCCGCUUGGCUUUUGGCUUUUUGCCAUAUUACUUUGAGAAAAUUAGAGUGUUUCAAGCAGACUUUUGUCUUGUAUACUGUAGCAUGGAUUAAUAGAGUAGGACUUUGGUUCUAUUUUGUUGGUUGGGGAACCUUGGUAAUGGUUAAUAGGAACGGUUGGGGGCAUUCAUAUUUAAA
rnacentral:rRNA from 1 species